rnacentral:rRNA from 1 species
UACGUAGGGUGCAAGCGUUGUCCGGAAUUAUUGGGCGUAAAGAGCUCGUAGGCGGUCUGCCGCGUCUGCUGUGAAAACUCAGGGCUUAACCCUGAGCUUGCAGUGGGUACGGGCAGACUAGAGUGCGGUAGGGGAGACUGGAAUUCCUGGUGUAGCGGUGAAAUGCGCAGAUAUCAGGAGGAACACCGGUGGCGAAGGCGGAUCUCUGGGCCGUAACUGACGCUGAGGAGCGAAAGCAUGGGGAGCGAACAGG